CUCUUAAAUAUUUAAGGAAUUCAAAAAGUUAAUGUAUUUAUCAUAAAGUGGUCCUUCUCAUUUGUUCUACUGGAAUUGACCAUUAAAAAGAGAAUAUUAAGCCUUAUUUAUAUCUGAUUAUUGACUGCAAACUGUGACUCAAUGAAUACUUGUAUGCCAAAAAAAAAAAAGGUUUUAAAGUUGAGAUAGUUUUAGACUUAAUAAAGAUGUGUAAAUAAUUUUGAUUAGUAUUCUCAUUAUAAUGAAGUUACUGUUAAUUUGGUGCAAUACGUUCUUCCCUUUCUCAUCCUUUUAAAAUUAAAUAUAUAAGAUGUAUGUUUUGUUUUGUUACAUUGAAUGUUUUAAAAUUUUUCAGUGUGUGUAUAUGAGCUAGUUUGAUUGUUUCUGUAUAGCAUGAUUGAAGAUAAUUGAAAAAUUUGCACAUUUUUUAGUCAUUUGGAAAUUUGUAGUCUAACAGUUUUUAAGAAUAUGCAUUUAUUUUGUAAAUAAUAAAUUAGCUUUGUAUAUGAAAAUGAGUUUGAAUCAAAUAAAAAAGUAAUGUUACUUUCUUC
rnacentral:lncRNA from 1 species